AUUAUCUCAGCAUGAGAUGUUUUGCACGAUAUCAGAGCAAAAGCUGUUUGGUUGAAGAACUCUCAGUGGUUUUCCUCUUUGCUUUAGUGCUGCAGUUUUCUAAGCAGACACAGCCUCUGUAUUUAUGGUGAUGAAGUAUAGAUAAACACACAGCUGGACGUUUCAGUCAGGAUGUGAGAUGUGAGAGGAAUACAAAGAAAGUUUAGAUCAUUGCACGUCUGCAUAGAAGGAAGUGAAGCAAACUCACAAACUCACAGCUGUUGUUUGCUCAGUAACCUUCAGUCUACAGACAACAGAAUAGAGUCAAUGAGGGUUUCUGACACCCCUCUGUCCACACUAUGGAAACACAAACGGGAUGAAGAAACAUCUCCUUUAUAAAAAGGACUUUGAUUCCUGUGGUUAAAAUACUCAGUGCUUUUUUUAGAGACAAAAGACGAGAAUGACACGAUCUACUGAGAGCUAGAAUGAUGAAAUAUGAGUCUUGUAAUUGGAGGAGGAGCUUCAGCUUUGAGGAAACUGAGAAGUUCCUGUUUUAGCAGUAAAAGAAGAAAAGCUCCAUCAUUCUCCAUCAGGCAGCAUGAGAGUCUGUCAGAGUCUGAUCUGUUGUCUCUUCCUGACUCUGCAGGACAGAGACUCUCUUGUUGAUGCAGAAACCAACAUCUACACAAAACGUGAAGGAGAAGACAUCACUAUUAGAUGUAAUCUUACAUUUUCAGGGAGCAGAAAGCUGCUCUGUAAGGAAACAUGUGAAGAAGGAAACAUUCUCAUAGAAACAUAUGGAGAUGAAGAUCAGAGAGGAAGAUAUAGCAUUAAAUAUGAAUAUCGAUAUAUUCGAUCAAGUUUUUUAGAUGUGACGAUCACUAAACUCACAAAGUCAGACUCAGGUUUGUAUACAUGUAAGUUGUGUAAAGGAUGGAGUCCAGAUUCAGAAGACAACUUCAAAAUAAUCGUUACAGAAGCAAAAACAGCAGGUGGCCAUGUGGCGUGGAACAAUUACAAAUGCCGCGGCACAUUUGGAGGUCACGCGGGGGCUGUCCGGUAGCAGGCUCCCUUCUACCGGGUGGCAAGCAGCAGGUGACACUUGAUAUGGACGGCUGCCAUCUGCAUUAUGACCACGCCAACAGUUUUCCAAAGAUCGGGGAGCGGCAGCUAAUCUUGAAUAUUCUGCUGAUGCCUCCCCAUCACGCGGUGGCAGUUCUAUUUUGUGUCCGUAGCAUAAUAACAAGAACCUUAUCUACCUGUAAUAUUCCACCUGUUCUCCAGCAGCUCCACUGGCUCCCAAACACAGUUUACAACCAAUUCAAGAUGCUGCUUUUCCCAGCAAUGCCACUCACAGCCUCGCCACCUCACUGAUCAGAACUCACAUCUUCAGGUUUCCCACUCUCAUUGUCUUGUUAUUCCUUAAACCCUUGUGCUAUCCUAGGCACUUUAACAUUGGGAGUUGGGUCAUCUAGACCCACUAGACAGUGUGCUAAACCUUUUUUCUUCAAUGAUUUGUGA